AUACCUUUCUCGGCCUUUUGGCUAAGAUCAAGUGUAGUAUCUGUUCUUAUCAGUUUAAUAUCUGAUAUGUGGGCCAUGUGCCUACUUCGAUAUUAAAUUUAUUUUUUGUGGGGGAGGGCCCACCACAGUGGCUUGCCACUGGGGCCCUCGCGCGUCGCCCAGGCGUUGCACUGCUGCCCGGGCCUGGCGCACCCCAA
rnacentral:snRNA from 1 species